rnacentral:rRNA from 1 species
ACUGCGAAUGGCUCAUUAAAUCAGUUAUCGUUUAUUUGAUAGCACCUUACUACUUGGAUAACCGUGGUAAUUCUAGAGCUAAUACAUGCUGAAAAUCCCGACUUCGGAAGGGAUGUAUUUAUUAGAUUAAAAACCAAUGCCCUCCGGGGCUCACUGGUGAUUCAUGAUAACUUCUCGAAUCGCAUGGCCUUGCGCCGGCGAUGGUUCAUUCAAAUUUCUGCCCUAUCAACUUUCGACUGCUGGGUCUUGGCCAGCAAUGGUGACAACGGGUAACGGAGGGUUAGGGCUCGACCCCGGAGAAGGAGCCUGAGAAACGGCUACUACAUCCAAGGAAGGCAGCAGGCGCGCAAAUUACCCAAUCCCGACACGGGGAGGUAGUGACAAUAAAUACUGAUACAGGGCUCUUUCGGGUCUUGUAAUUGGAAUGAGUACAAUUUAAAUCCCUUAACGAGGAACAAUUGGAGGGCAAGUCUGGUGCCAGCAGCCGCGGUAAUUCCAGCUCCAAUAGCGUAUAUUAAAGUUGUUGCAGUUAAAAAGCUCGUAGUUGAACCUUGGGCCUGGCCGGCCGGUCCGCCUCACCGCGUGCACUGGUUCGGCCGGGCCUUUUCCUCUGGCGAGCCCCAUGCCCUUCACUGGGCGUGCGGGGGAACCAGGACUUUUACUUUGAAAAAAUUAGAGUGUUCAAAGCAGGCCUAUGCUCGAAUACAUUAGCAUGGAAUAAUAGAAUAGGACGUGCGGUUCUAUUUUGUUGGUUUCUAGGACCGCCGUAAUGAUUAAUAGGGACAGUCGGGGGCAUCAGUAUUCAAUUGUCAGAGGUGAAAUUCUUGGAUUUAUUGAAGACUAACUACUGCGAAAGCAUUUGCCAAGGAUGUUUUCAUUAAUCAGGAACGAAAGUUAGGGGAUCGAAGACGAUCAGAUACCGUCGUAGUCUUAACCAUAAACUAUGCCGACUAGGGAUCGGACGAUGUUAUUUUUUGACUCGUUCGGCACCUUACACGAAAGUACAAGU